rnacentral:rRNA from 1 species
UACGAAGGGGGCUAGCGUUGCUCGGAAUCACUGGGCGUAAAGGGGGCGUAGGCGGGGUUUUAAGUCAGGGGUGAAAUCCUGGAGCUCAACUCCAGAACUGCCUUUGAUACUGAAGAUCUUGAGUCCGGGAGAGGUGAGUGGAACUGCGAGUGUAGAGGUGAAAUUCGUAGAUAUUCGCAAGAACCCCAGUGGCGAAGUCGGCUCACUGGCCCGGUACUGACGCUGAGGCACGAAAGCGUGGGGAGCAAACAGG